rnacentral:rRNA from 1 species
UACGUAGGAGGCAAGCGUUGUCCGGAAUCACUGGGCGUAAAGCGCGUGUAGGCGGAUCGCUAAGUCUGUGGUGAAAGCGCCUGGCUUAACCGGGCGAGGUCCAUGGAAACUAGCGGUCUGGAGGCCGGUAGAGGGGGGUGGAAUUCCGGGUGUAGUGGUGAAAUGCGUAGAGAUCCGGAGGAACACCAGUGGCGAAGGCGGCCCCCUGGGCCGCGCCUGACGCUGAGACGCGAAAGCGCGGGGAGCGAACGGGAUUAGAUACCCCGGUAGUCCGCGCAGUAAACGAUGUCCACUAGGUGUGGGGGGUAUCGAGCCCCUCCGUGCCGCAGCUAACGCAGUAAGUGGACCGCCUGGGGAGUACGGCCGCAAGGUUAAA